rnacentral:rRNA from 1 species
UACGGAGGGUGCAAGCGUUAAUCGGAAUUAUUGGGCGUAAAGCGCGCGUAGGCGGCUCGGUCAGUCGGGUGUGAAAUCCCUGGGCUCAACCUGGGAACUGCAUUUGUGACUGCAUGGCUAGAGUACGGUAGAGGGGGGAUGGAAUUCCGCGUGUAGCAGUGAAAUGCGCAGAUAUCAGGAGGAACACCGAUGGCGAAGGCAGCUCGCUGGGACGGUACUGACGCUGAGGCGCGAAAGCGUGGGGGAGCAAACAGG